rnacentral:rRNA from 1 species
CUACGGGAGGCAGCAGUGGGGAAUAUUGGACAAUGGGGGCAACCCUGAUCCAGCAAUGCCGCGUGUGUGAAGAAGGUCUUCGGAUUGUAAAGCACUUUCACUAGGGAAGAUGAUGACGGUACCUAGAGAAGAAGCCCCGGCUAACUUCGUGCCAGCAGCCGCGGUAAUACGAAGGGGGCUAGCGUUGCUCGGAAUGACUGGGCGUAAAGGGCGCGUAGGCUGUUUGUACAGUCAGAUGUGAAAUCCCCGGGCUUAACCUGGGAACUGCAUUUGAUACGUGCAGACUAGAGUCCGAGAGAGGGUUGUGGAAUUCCCAGUGUAGAGGUGAAAUUCGUAGAUAUUGGGAAGAACACCGGUUGCGAAGGCGGCAACCUGGCUCGGAACUGACGCUGAGGCGCGAAAGCGUGGGGAGCGAACAGGAUUAGAUACCCUGGUAGUCCACGCUGUAAACGAUGUGUGCUGGAUGUUGGGUGANUUUUAUCAUUCAGUGUCGGAGCUAACGCGUUAAGCACCGCCUGGGGAGUACGNCCGCAAGGUUGAAACUCAAAGGAAUUGACNGGGGGCCCCACAAGCGGUG